rnacentral:rRNA from 1 species
GGAUCUGACCCUAGUACGAGAGGACCGGGUUGGACGAACCUCUGGUGUGUCAGUUGUUCCGCCAGGAGCACCGCUGAUUAGCUACGUUCGGGAUGGAUAACCGCUGAAAGCAUCUAAGCGGGAAGCCGGCCUCAAGAUGAGACUUCCAUACCAUUUAUGGUGAGAGGCUCCCAGCCAGACUACUGGGUUGAUAGGCCGGAUGUGGAAGCGUAGUAAUACGUGAAGCUGACCGGUACUAAUAAGCCGAUGACUUGAUAAC